GGGGGUGAUCGGUUUCGACAUUGAUCGGCGGAUCAAGAGAAGCGGGUCGAGGAUGCACGGUUAUCUCGUUAACGAUCCGUGCAAACCAAUAGGUGCCAACUCCAAGCGCACCGACUUCGCCCUCGCCGCCUGAGCGAGCUCCGAAGUCCGUCAGCCUGAGGUAGUUCUCGACUCAGUGUCUGGCGUCAGCUAGAGAACUUGCUGCGUCACCCUUGUCGGGGGGUGGCGUGGGACUCCAAUCCGACUGGGCCUGUCAGGGAACGUGUGCGCGCGAGCCCUGGGGCCGAGAAAAUCCGUAGCGCACUGCACCCGGAGAAGUCUUGGUUUCCCGUCAGUGGACGCGGGUUCGAUUCCCGCCACCUCCACCA
rfam:Knoellia aerolata DSM 18566 contig80, whole genome shotgun sequence.